AUGUGAUGCUGAGGUAUUGAACCCAGGGCUUCAUGCAUGCUAAGCAAGCACUCUACCACUAAGCCCCAUUCGCAGCCCCAUGCGUAUCUGUCCUUAACACAGUCCUAAUUACAGAGGAGUUAGUGACAUAACAACAUCACACACUUAGCAAGGGAUUCCCAUGUAGCUAGUUCAGCUUGAGAAUUGUUUUCUUUACUAUGCUGUCAUUUGACAACAGCUGUUCUCUGGAAACUUGUAUUUUUAAAUCAACACCUUUUGGUCAUGAAAUCAGUGAAAUGAAAUUACUGAGGUGUUAAAGACAUAUAUCAGCUGAGAAAUGUUUUAGGACUGACUAGAGUCUCCAGUGUACACUGACUGCUUGUAGGCGUCAUUUCCCUUUGGGGUUUGCUUUGUUAAAGUAAGUAUCUCUCCAUAAAUCUCGUGCAGGGUUGUAUCUGAUGCCUCUCUUUGGGGCUCUCAUGCUUCUUGGCUUCUACUCCUGUUGAGUAGGCAGACGUAUCUGGAGACAGAUGUAGAGUCAAGGAAAAGAAGAGCUUUAGAGCUUAAAAUUGAUUUAUGUAAAAGCUUUCUCUGCAGUUCAAGCAAGUAAAAGACAAAAGCACACUCUCCUUUCUGUAGUACAAUUCCUUGCAACGGCAGACCAACCCCAUUUUAUUUGGGGUUAGUAUGGGUUAUCUGGAAAGCACCCAGAACCACCCCAAAAUGCGUUGUAUAAGAAGCUCUUAUUCAGAAAGGAAACUCUUAACAUAUGAAGGAACAACCCUGAUGAUGCCAAGCUGACAUGUGUGCCACGGUGCAGUGUUGGCAUGGUGAGAUUUGCAGCUAGUUUGUUUGUUUUGAAACAGAGUCUCACUGCAAUCAGCCUGGCCUGGAAUUGAACUCCUCCUGCUUCAGCCUCCCACAUGCACCACGCCCAGCUUGCAACCAGCUCUUCACCUCUGGGUGUUAGCAGCGAAACAAGCAGUAUGUCUUGCACUGAUUCUGUUUUUCCUUAAAAUUAACUGUGCAUGUGUGUUUGUGCAGAUGCAUGCACACUCAUGAGUGUGCUUGGUGUGCACAGGCACUGGAUUAAAGAACCAGCAGAGCUUUUUCAGGUAGAUUUGUUGCAUUGUGUGGUCAGCCACACUUGCACAAGCAGAUUUUUCUUAGCUUCCCUAUCGUCUACCUGACUAGGUAUGUGACACAUGAAAGGUGUAGUUGAGAAAUGAAUGUAAAGAUAACAGUGCUUCAGCUCUUUAUUAUUAUUAUUAUUAUUAAUUUCUAAGGUAGAAUUUUCUAAACAUUACCUGGAUGUAAGAUUUUUAGGUUGCUAAUCUGUAGUGGCCUCUGUGAAGAGUGAUAAAGAACAAGAUGUAGUUUUUCUUUAUAACAGUGAAGGUUAACAAUCAGAGCUCCUCUAACUCAUUUAAAUCUCAAAGAGCUCUUCUCAAUUGUUGCUGAACAUUCAUAAGCAGGAGUUUGGGGAAUGAACAGCGUGGAUGCUGCUGCCGCCCCUCCCCUCACUGAGGUUUUGUUUCAGUCUGGUAGUGUAGUGGCUCAUGUUUAUAAUCCAGGAGGCUCGGAUUGGAGAUCACCAUUUGAGGCAAGCCAUGGCAAAACAGUUCCCAAGACCCCUCAACCAGUAAAAGCUGUCAUCCCAGCCAUGCAGGAAGUAUAAAUAGGUGAAUCAUUGUCCAGGCAUAAAUGUGAGACUGUUAGAAAAAGAACUUAAGCUAGGACAUAGCUUAAGUGGUAGAGCCUUUUAAAAAGAAAGAUGUUUACAGCUAUUGAUUUCCCCUGAGCACUGUUGUGUGUUCUUUUAUACCUUCAUUUUCAUACCUUUCAUUUAUCUCAGGUUAUUUUCUCUGACUCAUUAGUAAUUUAAAAGUGUGAGUUUUCUUGGCUUGUUUUUUUUCCCCCUUUGCUUUUGAUUUCUAGCUUCAGUGAGGCUUUGUGGUUAGAGAAUAUGCUUUGCAUGAUUUCAGUCUUUUUUUUUUUUUUAUUGAGAGUUGUUCUGUGGACUGAUAAGGACUUCCCUGGAGACUUUCCUGUGUACACUUUUGAGGAAUGUGUGUCUGUGUGUCAGUGUCUGUCUCUCUCUGUGUGUUAGAUCUAGGUGUAUGUGUUGCUCAGAAGCUGGUUUUCCUUAUUUAUCUAUGUCCUAUUAAGCAGUUCUGUCAUUGAAAAGAUGUUAAAGUCUGCUAUUAUGGAAUCUUCUGUGUUUUGUUCAGUUCUGUCAGUGCUUGCCUGUUCUGUUUUGCAGCUGUUUCUGGUGCAUUUUAUCCUUUUGGCGAAUUGAUCCUUUUAUCCAUACGUAACAGUUUUCACGUCCACUCAGUUUUCAUGGCUUGUUGAUACUGAGCAUGCUUAACAAAGUUGUUUUAAAGUCUUUGUAUUCUAAGUACAGUGCUUUCUCAGGAAUGCUUUCUGUUACUUAAUUUUGUGCCUUUGAGUGGAUUCUAUUUUCCUGUUCUUUGUAUGCCCUGUUCUUUACUUAAUUUUUUUUAAAACUUUGAAAACCCGAUGUCUAAAAAUUAGAAUGUUGUGUAUUUGUAGAUAAGUCUAUUCCCAAGUUUUGCUUUUCUGUUUCUGAUCAUUGAUAGUUAUAGUAUUCUUUGUGUGUGUGUGACUUCCAAACAAAUAACACAAACACCUAGUGCUUGCAGAAAGGCCCUUCCUUGGGACCACUUAACAUUCACCUAAGAUGAAGAAGCUUGAGGUUUUCUCAUGUUUCUUCUGAGUGCGUGUCACACUCUGCAAGUACCGUGGGUUUUGAAAUUCUCCCAUGUAUAUGGUGCACUCAUGUUGUUGGUCUAUUUUAUGUCUUAAAUGUGUGGUAUUUUUACCUCAAGUUUCUUUAAACUAUAUUUUAAACAACCAUGCUUUUCUAGCAAGGGCGAAUGUUCAGUUGGGCGAACAGAAUGUGCACCUUGUGUCUAUCCUUCAUGUAUCUCUCACAGAUUGGGAUAGAGUUACCUAGG